rnacentral:rRNA from 1 species
GACGAACGCUGGCGGCGUGCUUAACACAUGCAAGUCGUACGGUAAGGCCCUUUCGGGGGUACACGAGUGGCGCACGGGUGAGUAACACGUGAGUAACCUGCCCACAACUUUGGGAUAACGCUAGGAAACUGGUGCUAAUACUGGAUAUGUGCUCCUGCUGCAUGGUGGGGGUUGGAAAGCUCCGGCGGUUGUGGAUGGACUCGCGGCCUAUCAGCUUGUUGGUGGGGUAGUGGCCUACCAAGGCGGCGACGGGUAGCCGGCCUGAGAGGGUGACCGGCCACAUUGGGACUGAGAGACGGCCCAGACUCCUACGGGAGGCAGCGGUGGGGAAUAUUGCACAAUGGGCGCAAGCCUGAUGCAGCAACGCCGCGUGCGGGAUGACGGCCUUCGGGUUGUAAACCGCUUUCAGCAGGGACGAAGCUUUUUGUGACGGUACCUGCAGAAGAAGCACCGGCUAACUACGUG